GACGAACGCUGGCGGCGUGCUUAACACAUGCAAGUCGAACGGAAAGGCCCUGCUUUUGCGGGGUGCUCGAGUGGCGAACGGGUGAGUAACACGUGAGUAACCUGCCCUUGACUUUGGGAUAACUUCAGGAAACUGGGGCUAAUACCGGAUAGGAGCUCCUGCUGCAUGGUGGGGGUUGGAAAGUUUCGGCGGUUGGGGAUGGACUCGCGGCUUAUCAGCUUGUUGGUGGGGUAGUGGCUUACCAAGGCUUUGACGGGUAGCCGGCCUGAGAGGGUGACCGGCCACAUUGGGACUGAGAUACGGCCCAGACUCCCACGGGAGGCAGCAGUGGGGAAUAUUGCACAAUGGGCGGAAGCCUGAUGCAGCAACGCCGCGUGCGGGAUGACGGCCUUCGGGUUGUAAACCGCUUUCGCCUGUGACGAAGCGUGAGUGACGGUAAUGGGUAAAGAAGCACCGGCUAACUACGUG
rnacentral:rRNA from 1 species